rnacentral:rRNA from 1 species
GACGAACGCUGGCGGCGUGCCUAAUACAUGCAAGUCGAGCGGACAGAAGGGAGCUUGCUCCCGGAUGUUAGCGGCGGACGGGUGAGUAACACGUGGGUAACCUGCCUGUAAGACUGGGAUAACUCCGGGAAACCGGAGCUAAUACCGGAUAGUUCCUUGAACCGCAUGGUUCAAGGAUGAAAGACGGUUUCGGCUGUCACUUACAGAUGGACCCGCGGCGCAUUAGCUAGUUGGUGGGGUAAUGGCUGACCAAGGCGACGAUGCGUAGCCGACCUGAGAGGGUGAUCGGCCACACUGGGACUGAGACACGGCCCAGACUCCUACGGGAGGCAGCAGUAGGGAAUCUUCCGCAAUGGACGAAAGUCUGACGGAGCAACGCCGCGUGAGUGAUGUAGGUUUUCGGAUCGUAAAGCUCUGUUGUUAGGGAAGAACAAGUGCGAGAGUAACUGCUCGCACCUUGACGGUACCUAACCAGAAAGCCACGGCUAACUACGUGCCAGCAGCCGCCGUAA